AGCUCCGUACACACAGGGCGGAGACAGGAUUCGAGGCUCCAACCCUGGAGGUGCGAGGCAAACAUGAUAACCACUAAGCCACCAUGCCCCCCUAGUAAAGUCACAUGAACCUCACAUGAGAAUAAUCACAUGAUACACAUUUAAAUUUAUGCACUGGAUCCCCUCAAGGAUGCCACCUCCUGUACUCCCUAUAUACACAACACUGCUGUCAUCCACAGCCCUGACGUCAUGAUUAAGCUUGCUGAUGGACACUGCUGUGAUAAGACCAACAAUCUUGGUACCCCAACAACAAGAGUGAGCCAUUUCAAAUUUCUGGGUGUCAAGAUCUCAGACUUGGUCUCAACACAUUGACAUGCUGCUAAAAACGCACAACACCACCUCUAUUAUAUCUCUACAAAAAUUCAGGUUUCUCAACUUUCAAAACCUGCCCCCAAUCAUCCUCACACAUUUUUAUCUACAGACAGCAGAGAUGGAUAACAUCAUUUGUUCUCUGCAAAUGUGCAGAGACUCAGGAGAAGGCACUCACACUUCCCAAAGGCACUCGUCAUUUUAAGCAGGACAAAAAGCUGCUCAUCAUUUACUCAACAUAAAGUACUUUAACAACAUAAACACAUACUACGCCUUAAGGGAAUAUGUCUCAUCUCACCGUCAUCUGUCCCCAUAUACAAGCACAACAUGCACAUAUUGCACAUACACACUUCACUUCACACUAACUGAUGUCCAUUCAUGUGCAUCACACUGGUGUGUCUUGUCUUGUCCUCUUGUGUAUAUGUAUAACGUACAUAACAGAGCUUCUCCAUAUGAUUUUCCACAAUUUUUUUAUUUUAUUUUUAUUCUGUAACAGCUGAGUACCUAAGCGUACCUUGUUUUGUUUACACAACGCUACUACCUUAUGUGUCACACUGUAUGUCUACCUACCCUAUGUGUCC